UUUUUGCCCCCAUUAUCCUCCUUUCUGUGUAAACAUUAAUUCAUUUUCUCCCAUCUUUCCUACCCAGCAGGUCUUAAAGAGAGGAAGAGUUUGUAAUAUUCUUCAGGGGAAGCCUUUUGAGAUUGAAAUAUCAUACUUUGAAUGAUAACUCUAUAUCUAUCUAUAAUAUACUAUGGUUUAAUGUUUGGAAAUCAAACACAGUAUUUAUUUUUCAUGUGAACUACUAAAAGUAAAUCUGCAUGGACUUCUUGCCUGGUGAGUUACACAGAAAAUGAAAGUGAUUAUCAGUGGCUGUGGCAAGACGAAAGGAACCAUGCCAGAACUUCUGAGGGAAGGAAGAGUGUUUGGAACUGAAAAAUCCUUGUCUGGAUCUAGUCCUCAGCCACUCAGAAGCCGGCAUGCCAUGACUCAAAGAGCUGCCCAUCUGGAAUGAAGACAGUGACCCGUAACUCCCACCUGAAGAGCAGGUGCUUGGAAAACGCCGCCAGUCCGCAGGAAAAAGUUGUUACUGCUGCUGUCUGUGACCAAGAGGACACUUUAUUUCUUGAAACAACUGGGGGCAAACUGGCUCCCAGAUAAGGCUUCAGUCCCUACUCAUGUGAGGAAACCAGCCCUGCACCUGAGAGUUUAUUCAGUGACGAUAAUACUCACAAGACCCUUUUGGGAUUUGUGGCCCAACCCACAAGUUAUAGUUCCUUCUCUGAAUAUUUCAUCCAGAUUGUGAAAAGCAGCUUCUGGCAGCCACAGUUGUACUAUGUGACCCCUACUUCCCAUGCCCAGGACUGAUUCGACCCCGUAGUAGACACCUAAAGCAAUCCCGAUCAGUCAGAGUCUUUGUUCCUGACAUUUGGGAUUAGAGCAUGGCUGAAGGUUUAAGACACAAACUUGGAAGCUGUGGGGCAGCAAUACACCUCCAUGAGGACAGAGAAGCAGGGGAAAUAAGAAUAAACCAGAAGCUCACAGAAAUGCAGGAAAUACUUCUAGAGUUCUAACACUUUUCGGGUUUCUUGUCCUAGUCCAUUCUUGACACACUUGUGCCUCACAGAAGCCAAUGGCAAGAAUGCAGUCAGAUCCUUCCAAUAAAUUCCUUUUAUUCUGUUUA
rnacentral:antisense_RNA from 1 species